rnacentral:rRNA from 1 species
UACAGAGGUCUCAAGCGUUGUUCGGAUUCAUUGGGCGUAAAGGGUGCGUAGGUGGCGCUGUAAGUCGGGUGUGAAAUUUCGGAGCUUAACUCCGAAACUGCAUUCGAUACUGCGGUGCUUGAGGACUGGAGAGGAGACUGGAAUUCAUGGUGUAGCAGUGAAAUGCGUAGAGAUCAUGAGGAAGACCAGUGGCGAAGGCGGGUCUCUGGACAGUUCCUGACACUGAGGCACGAAGGCCAGGGGAGCAAAAGGG